CAGAGGUGGCAAGCGUUGUUCGGAAUUACUGGGCGUAAAGGGCGCGUAGGCGGCUCGAUAAGUCCCGCGUGAAAUCCCCCGGCUCAACUGGGGAACUGCGUGGGAAACUGCCGGGCUUGAGUUCGGGAGAGGGAAGCGGAAUUCCGGGUGUAGCGGUGAAAUGCGUAGAUAUCCGGAGGAACACCGGUGGCGAAGGCGGCAUCCUGGACCGACACUGACGCUGAGGCGCGAAAGCUAGGGGAGCAAACGGGAUUAGAUACCCCGGUAGUCCUAGCUGUAAACGAUGAGUGCUGGGUGUAGGGGGUGUUAACCCCUCCUGUGCCGAAGCUAACGCAUUAAGCACUCCGCCUGGGGAGUACGGUCGCAAGGCUG
rnacentral:rRNA from 1 species